UUGAUUUGAGGUUUUGAAAAAGGAAGUGUGUUUUUUUUCCCCCUUUGGCUUUCUGCAGCCCUACAUGAAGUAGCUAGUAGAGGAGGAGGUGUGUUUAUACACAGAGAGAGAGAGAGAGAGAGAGAGAGAGACCGGGGGAUGGAUGGAAAACAACCCGUUCGUUAUGGCGUAACUAACUAACAGUAUCUAGUUGUAGGUGUGGACGGUACUGCAGACGGAGAUCAUAAUAAACCCAGAUAGUUCUGAUCAUGUCGUUGAUGCAGGCCUGCCGCAGUUUAGCCCUAUCUACAUGGCUCCUGACGUUUUGUUUCGUUCACCUCCUCUGUUUGGACUUUACCGUCGCCGAGAGAGAGGAGUGGUACACCGCUUUCGUUAAUAUCACCUACAGAGACCCGGUCACCUCUGAAGUCCGGACGGAGAAAGCAGAAUAUGGUCGAUACGGGGAACACUCGCUUAAACGCGACGCAAAGGGAGUCGUGGUACUUCCUUCUCUCUCUCAGGAUAGACAAGCCUGUGAUCCCGGUACCCGGUUCUCUGUUCCGGUCCAAGGCAGUGCGUGGAUAGCCCUGAUUGCCAGGGGAAACUGCACAUUUAAAGAUAAGAUAAGACACGCAGCGAGCCAAAACGCCUCGGCCAUCGUCAUAUUCAACGUUGGAUCCAGCGACUCCAAUGAUACAAUCACCAUGCCACAUUCAGGUAUGGGUGACGUGGUUGCCAUCAUGAUCCCCGAGCCUAAAGGUCGUGAGGUCGCUGCUCUGCUGGAGCGGAACGUCACGGUAACCAUGCACAUCACCAUAGGAACGCGUAACCUCCAGAAGUACGUGAGCAGGACGUCGGUGGUGUUCGUCUCCAUCUCCUUCAUCAUCCUGAUGAUCAUCUCUCUGGCCUGGCUCGUCUUCUACUAUAUACAGAGGUUCAGAUACGUCAACGCACGAGAUCGCUACCAGAGGCGUCUGGGAGAUGCAGCUAAGAAGGCCAUCAGUAAGCUGCAGGUCAGGACCAUCAGGAAGGGAGACGGGGAGACGGAGUCAGACUUUGAUAACUGUGCCGUGUGUAUCGAGGGUUACAAGCCAAACGACGUGGUCAGGAUACUACCCUGCAGACAUCUUUUCCAUAAGAACUGUGUGGACCCCUGGCUGCUGGACCACAGGACCUGUCCCAUGUGUAAGAUAGACAUCCUCAAAGCCCUGGGCAUCGCUUUAAAUGCAGACUGUCUGGAUGACCUGCCCUUGGACUAUGAGAUGGUGGGUGGGGUGGGGGUGGAGGGUCUGGUCCUGGAGGCUGUGGUGUCGGCAGGAUCCAGUGACGGUACCCUCAGUGAGGGGGGGUCGGUGGUUCUAGACCCGGGGAUGCGGAGGGUGGGGCUACCCCAAGACUACCACGACCCAGACCCUCUGACGGACAGUCCCAUUACUGUUACUACUGAUACCCACACAGGUGAGACUACUGAUACCCACACACACAGGUGAGACUACUGAUACCCACACACACAGGUGAGACUACUGAUACCCACACACACAGGUGAGACUACUGAUACCCACACACACAGGUGAGACUACUGAUACCCCCACACACAGGUGAGACUACUGAUACCCCCACACACACAGGUGAGACUACUGAUACCCCCACACACACAGGUGAGACUACUGAUACCCCCACACACACAGGUGAGACUACUGAUACCCACACACACAGGUGAGACUACUGAUACCCACACACACAGGUGAGACUACUGAUACCCACACACACAGGUGAGACUACUGAUACCCACACACACAGGUGAGACUA